CACUAUGCUUAGCCAUAAACAUUGAUAGUGUUACACCCCACUAUCCGCCCGGGAACUACGAGCAAUAGCUUAAAACCCAAAGGACUUGGCGGUGCUUUAGAUCCACUUAGAGGAGCCUGUUCUAGAACCGAUAAUCCCCGUUCAACCUCACCUUUCCUAGUUUUACCCGCCUAUAUACCGCCGUCGCCAGCUUACCCUGUGAAGGUCUUAUAGUAAGCAAAAAUGAUCUAUAAUCCAAGACGUCAGGUCGAGGUGUAGCGCAUGGAAAGGAAAGAAAUGGGCUACAUUCCCUACCCCAGGGAAUACGAAUAAUACACUGAAACGCGUAUUUGAAGGAGGAUUUAAUAGUAAGUAGAAAAUAGAGUGUCCUACUGAAACCGGCCCUGAAGCGCGCACACACCGCCCGUCACUCUCCCCAAACUCAACCCACUUAAUUAAACUUUAAAUCAUUAUUUAUGAAAAGGGGAGGCAAGUCGUAA
rnacentral:rRNA from 1 species